GGCAAGGUGGCCGAGCGGUUAAGGCGCUGUGUGUACGUACCCACAACUCUUCGAUCACCUCAAUACAAACCUAGUCCCACUAACACGAGAAAUAGUCAGGAAAAAUGACUCGCAGUUCGAAAGAGCAUGGGUUCGAAUCCCAUCCUUGUCA
rnacentral:tRNA from 1 species